rnacentral:rRNA from 1 species
AUUGAACGCUGGCGGCAGGCCUAACACAUGCAAGUCGAGCGAGCGGCGGACGGGUGAGUAAUGUAUGGGGACUGCCCGAUAGAGGGGGAUAACUACUGGAAACGGUGGAUAAUACCGCAUACUAUUGGAUAACCCAUAUGGGAUUAGCUAGUAGGUGGGGUAAAGGCUCACCUAGGCGACGAUCUAUAGCUGGUCUGAGAGGAUGAUCAGCCACACUGGGACUGAGAGACGGUCCAGAUUCCUACGGAGGCAGCAGUGGGGAAUAUUGCACAAGGGGCGCAAGCCUGAUGCAGCCAUGCCGCGUGUAUGAAGAAGGCCUUAGGGUUGUAAAGUACUUUCACCAUCGACGCGUUACCCGCAGAAGAAGCACCGGCUAACUCCGUGCCAGCAGCCGCGGUAAUUC